UAGUCUGGUGCCAGCAGCCGCGGUAAUUCCAGCUCCAAUAGCGUAUAUUAAAGUUGUUGCAGUUAAAACGCUCGUAGUCGGAUUUCGGGGCAGGUUUGCCGGUCUGCCGAUGGGUAUGCACUGGUAGAACUGUCCUUCCUUCCGGAGACGGCGCCUACUCUUAACUGAGCGGGUGUCGGAGACGGAUCGUUUACUUUGAAAAAAUCAGAGUGUUUCAAGCAGGCAGCUCGCUUUUGCAUGGAUUAGCAUGGGAUAAUGAAAUAGGACUUUGGUGCUAUUUUGUUGGUUUCGAACACCGAAGUAAUGAUUAACAGGGACAGUCAGGGGCACUCGUAUUCCGCCGAGAGAGGUGAAAUUCUUAGACCAGCGGAAGACGAGCCACUGCGAAAGCAUUUGCCAGGGAUGUUUUCACUGAUCAAGAACGAAAGUUAGGGGAUCGAAGACGAUCAGAUACCGUCGUAGUCUUAACCAUAAACCAUGCCGACUAGGGAUUGGAGGAUGUUCCUAUGUGACUCCUUCAGCACCUUUCGGGAAACUAAAGUCUUUGGGUUCCGGGGGGAGUAUGGUCGCAAGGCUGAAACUUAAAGGAAUUGACGGAAGGGCACCACCAGGAGUGGAGCCUGCGGCUUAAUUUGACUCAACACGGGGAAACUUACCAGGUCCAGACAUUGUGAGGAUUGACAGAUUGAGAGCUCUUUCUUGAUUCGAUGGGUGGUGGUGCAUGGCCGUUCUU
rnacentral:rRNA from 1 species